AGGGUGGAUGACUGAGUUUGUUCCAAGCUGUUUAUUUUUACUUGUCGUGUUGGUGCUUGGAGCUGAUGUGCAGCUCUUCCUAUGAGAUGGGUUCAUCAUACUCUUCCCUUGUCUCUGUGUUGUUCAUUUACUCAAUUAACUGACUUCCCGUCUUGGGUCACUAUGAUUGCUAGCUGUUGUAGGCAAGACAGCAAGAAGUCAAUAAAAAAGUCGAGACUCAAGUUUCAAGAGCAAGUAUGGGGAUAUAUCAUGUCCAUGAAGCACCAGUUGGUUUGUUGGAAAGACCAAAUUGCUCUAGAAUUUGCUUGCUUUUAUAGCAUAGAAGUCGAUCGAGUGAAAAUGAUUGUACCCAUCAAGUAAGAAAAAUUAGAUAUUGAUCAGGAUAGAUAUGUAUGUAGUGGUUUGAAUGGUGGUUCAGAUGCUGGAAGCAUGAUAGAAAGAAUUGUUGAUCUUUCGAUGAGUGAUGAGCUGCAAGGUGCAAGAACGCAAGUGGUUAUAGCUGAACUUGAAGCUCUAUCAAAACUGACGGACAAGAUUCUUCUCGAGCUCGAUAAUAUUCAGAUUUUGAUGCAUCAGCAAUUAUACUCGAUAAGGU